CAAAAAUCCAAGAUGGUUGACAACUGUCAAAAUUUCAACUGACAAACUUUUAUGAAGCUUUACAAAGUCAACAAUGGAUAUUACAUGAAAACAUCGAUUUAAUUUAAUACAGCAGCGACGGUUGUUCUGAAAUAACUGCAUGUCACUGGAUGGUUUUGGUUUUUACAGCUAACAGACCACAGUAUGGACGACGAUGCAGAGUUGUAUUUGCGUAUGUGGGUGCUGUUCCAUUAAACAGGAUCCGAGUUUGGAGUCUCUUCCGACUUGAGAGUACAUAGUUACGAUAUGGAAUUGUGAUGAUGUAACCCGUACGACAAUGUUUCAUAAGCGCCAGAAUCAGUCUGACUUACGUUUGCUCUAUUCCGUGAUUGAACCCAAAGAGAAUACUGGUAUAUUUCAUAACGAUUGUCUUUCAGAAAACAGUCUAGUUGUCUGCUAUGUUAACAAUAACAUGUCUGAUUGGAACCUGUACUGAAGGGAUAUAAAUAAAAUGUCAAAAACAAUCUUACAAAGUUUUCAUUUCCGUGUGUCCUUUGCCUUGAACUUUACUUAAAAAAAUAUUUGAUCGUACGAAUUUAAAACUAUUUAGAACAAAGAUUUUCAACUAAAAUACGGAAUGUCCUUAAGAUCCUUAAGUCAUUAUGUCUAUUUUUUUGUUGUGUCAGUCGUAUGGGUAAAUGUACGAACCCGAAAUAGCAGUUGCAGUUUACGCAGAAAUCAGCUUUAAAUAUGUAAAAGAUUGAUACUAUUUAAUAUUGUGAAUAUGGCCGUAAUUAAAUUUGAAAAACCCGAGUUUAUUGCUGUAAUGAUGCUUCAAAUAUUGCAGGAAUUUGAUUGGGACUUUUGUUAGCUAUCACAUCAGCAAUCUUGAAGUGCCGUGUGGUGGCUGUAAAAAGUCUCCCCGUACUUGGAUUCAGUGUUCCUUUUGGAUCAUGGAGACCAUUCCAUUGCUUAAGCGUGAGAGGUGUUGCAUAUUUCAUUACCUCUCGUGAACACAAUCAACCCGAGUCUUCUAUUAUUCUGCUUGGUUGCAUUCUUUUCUUCCAAAGGAUCUUUUUACAGAUUAGUUGAGACUAUUGACAUUAGAUUAAAAUUCAGAUUUGUUU